GACGAACGCUGGCGGCGUGCUUAACACAUGCAAGUCGAACGAAGAGCGAUGGAAGCUUGCCUCUAUCAAUCUUAGUGGCGAACGGGUGAGUAACGCGUAAUCAACCUGCCCUUCAGAGGGGGACAACAGUUGGAAACGACUGCUAAUACCGCAUACGAUCUAAUCUCGGCAUCGAGGAAAGAUGAAAGGUGGCCUCUAUUUAUAAGCUAUCACUGAAGGAGGGGAUUGCGUCUGAUUAGCUAGUUGGAGGGGUAACGGCCCACCAAGGCGAUGAUCAGUAGCCGGUCUGAGAGGAUGAACGGCCACAUUGGGACUGAGACACGGCCCAGACGCCUACGGGAGGCAGCAGGGGGGAAUCUUCCGCAAUGGACGAAAGUCUGACGGAGCAACGCCGCGUGAGUGAUGACGGCCUUCGGGUUGUAAAGCUCUGUUAAUCGGGACGAAAGGCCUUCUUGCGAACAGUUAGAAGGAUUGACGGUACCGGAAUAGAAAGCCACGGCUAACUACGUG
rnacentral:rRNA from 1 species